rnacentral:lncRNA from 1 species
UAGUGUGAGCGUUUUUAUUUGGUUGACUUGUGUUCUUUUAGUCUGGAUCUUUUUGUUUGACGACGGUUAUGGGGUUAAGGGAUCAAAAGAAACUAGUAAAAUUUUCCAGCACGUUACAAGGACUCUUGCGUCUUUUGUUGCUGGCGCUGCUGUUUGGUUCGUGAAGACUCUCUCAGUUAAGUUAAUAAGUGUUUCUUUCCAAAGCAAGCGAUUCUUUCAUCGGAUUCAUGAAGCGAUCUUUCAUCAGCAUGUUCUUCAGGUUCUUUCAGCUGCACAAGAGAAUAAGAUUAAAAAAUUAAGGACCGCAAAUACAGCGAUGCAGUUUAUUUCUAGGAUUAGCAAGCGGAAAAAGUCUAAGGAAAAAAUGACAAUAGAGAAGAUUUCUGCUUGUAUCUCGAAAAGAUUAUUCAGUAGCAGGAACAGUGACUUAAAGUCGUCACAGUCGAAUGAGAUUGAUGAGUCUAAUGAGAUUAAAAGCGAAUCAGAAGCUAAGAUUCUUGCUGAUAAUAUUAUCAAGAAUCUGGAAAAGCUUCAAAGCGAGUGAGUCUAAUGACUUUAAUUAAAUUUAAUUUCCAGUUUCAUAUUAUUUCUUUCGGAAUUAAUUCAUCUCCCUGUUUUUAUUUUGUUAUUGUUAAGAACGACUAGGUUUAUCGAGAAGAAGCAGCUUCAGUGGUUCUUGAAGGAUGAGCAACAUGUGAAAAAAGUGCUGAAAUUGUUUGGAGCGGUCAAGAGCGGAAAAAUCGAUAAGGCAGAUUUUAAGAAAUGGGUGGUAAGAUUCUUUGGAUUUAGAUUCAAUAUUGAAUUGAGUUGUACUGAUUUUACUAUUAUCUUUAGUCACGUCGAGGCGAUGCAAUUGAAUCAAAUUAAAAAGUUGAACCAUUUCAGGUAGUUUCAAAAUUUUCGAACCAAAUGGUUCAAUAUUCUCUUUAAUUUUUGCAAGAAUCAAACUGAAAAAAAGUACAAUGAAGAACAAAACUAAAUAUAAAUCAAGUCCAACCAAAUUGAAUUAAAAUUUGGUUCCAAUUUUCUGAAGUGAUCGGGUUGGGUUCGAUUUUAUGCAUAGAAGUAGGCACUUAGUUCAGCUUAGACCGAACCGAACAGAAUUGGAUUGAAUCAAAGGAAACUGAAUUAAAUUAAGUCUAUGUUUGGUUUAAAAUUUUUCAAAUUAAAUGGUUUAGCGUUCAGUUUGAUUCAUUUUGGCUCUUGAGGAAAGAACCACAUUAGUUAAAAAAAGAAAAAUGAAAAACCAAACCAAACCAAACCAACAAUAAACUCAAUCUAACCAAAACAAAUUAAAAUCCAGUUCUUGUUUAGUUCCUAAUUUUUGAACAGUUCAGGUUUGGUUUGAAUUUAGUUUGAUUCCUAUUUAUACUGUUAUACGGUUUAGAUUCAAAUACAUAUUAUUUUUCUAUUCAAUAACUACUAAUCACACUAUUAAGAAAGCCAAGCAUAAAGUUCAAGUUAGCACUAAAUAAGCUCUUCAGUUAGAAUCAUUACACAUGAACUCUUUUUAAUUAAGUGGUAAUAUUUGUAUUUCUAAUCAAAGUCACAGUAAAUUUGCAUAUCACUUAAAUAUGAAUUGCUAUAAUUGUAUAUGUGAACAUAACGAUUAUAAAUGCACGCAAGCCAAAAGAACUUUAAAAAAAUUAGAGUACAAAAAAAAUUAGCACUAAUCCAAACUCAUUUUUACGUUGCCCAAAACACUUCAUUGUCAUAUAUUACCUACAAUUUCUACUUGAUUUGUCAUGCAUCAUCAAAUCAUCUUGUGAUGAAGUUCUUAUCAUUGCAGACAAAAGUUUAUAAUGACCGCCAGACUCUGAAACGUUCCUUAAAUGAUGCCAAGACUGCCAUAGAAGAGUUGAACAGGAUUCUUUCAGCAAUUGUGAUUGUCCUGAUCAUCAUAGUGUGGUUGCUAGUGAUGGGUCUUUUGACUUACAAAGUAUUUGCCGUUGUUACAUCCCAGCUUUUACUUCUAGCAUUCAUGUUUGGUAACACAGCCAGGACUUGCUUUGAAGCCAUCAUAUUUGUAUUUGUGACGCACCCAUUUGAUGUAGGUGAUAGGUGCUUAAUUGACGGAGUGCUGGUAAAUUAAUUAAAUUGAUUUUCAUCCUAGAUUAUGCCUACUUUAUAAAAUAGGGCUCUGUUUGCUUGACGCACGCAUUUUAAGUUGCAGAUGGUUGUUGAUGAGAUGAACAUUUUGACAACAAUCUUUCUGAGAUAUGACAAGCAGAGGAUAUAUUAUCCAAAUUCAGUUCUAGCAACCAAACCCAUCAGUAACUUUUACAGGAGCCCGCGAGAGAUGGGUGAUACGGUGGAGUUUGCAAUUGAUGUUUUCACAUCAGUUGAGAUCAUUGACAAACUAAAAUAUAGAAUAAAAGAGUAAGUCAGUUCUUUUGAGAUAACAACUGUAUGUUAAAGGGUUAGGAUUGUUGAGACUUGUCUUUGAUACCAAUUUUCGGUUGUUUGUUAUAACGUACUGUUGACGCUUAUUUUUUGUCACUUUUUUUGUGUGCAUAUUUUUGUCAACGUUAUUUUACUGCAGCUACUUGGAGAGGAAGCACAAGCAUUGGAGUGGAGAUCACAGUGUGGUGGUGAAGGAUAUUGAGGAUGUGAAUAAGAUGAGAAUGACUCUCUAUGUUACUCAUACCAUGAACUUUCAGGAUUACAUGAAGAAACUUAAACGGAGAUCCAAAUUAGUCUUAGAGCUAAAGAAAAUAUUUGAAGAACUUGGUAUCAGAUACAAUCUUCUUCCUCAAGAAGUUCGGGUUAGCUACGCGGGGCGCUAACCAGUAGCCAUCAUGUGUUGAAUAUUAAACCCGAUGUACACAGAGACCAAUUAAGCCCAAUUUUCAGAAGUACCUAAGUUUGGUAAGUUUGUGUGAAAUAUGUUAUAGUUUACAUUUGUGGCGGUAAGUUUAGUAUGUAAAAUUUGGGUAGUUGAAAUGUGUGGUGACUGAUGAGUUUGGGUAGUUGAAAUAUAUGGUUAUGAAUGGUUUGCUUCAUGUAUAAUUAAAUGCUCCUGUGCUGUACCAAUAAAGUGUUGGCUCCACUGAUAAUUGAGUCUCCUUAAGUGGCUUGAUUGGGUUUGCUCCCCAGUUCGAGUCGCAGGGAAGUCGCCUUUGUUGGGAGAACCUGUGCCUCUCGGUUCGAGCGGGGACUUCUAGUCUGAAUUGUGGUACGAGCUUAAAGGUGCUUCCCACAGUUGGGACCCUUCCCAGGAUACCUCGUGGUCAAAACCAAAAAAAAAAAAAAAUGCUCCUGUACUGUCAAAACAAAAAAAAAAAAAAUGCUCCUGUACUGUCCAUUAGCCAAGAAGUGUGCUGGAGUUUCUGAGUUAUAAAGAUUUUAAAGUAUUGGUGUUGUACUAUAUUUAUUUAAUAUAUGUAUAAUAUAUGUGUGAAUUAAAUAUAAUUAUUAAUUAUAUAAUUGUUUUUUUAAGAUAAAUAUUUAUAUGCCCACAUGUACUACUUGAAUGUAUUAUAAUAAAAAUACUGUAGAAUCUUUUAUUGUAAAGUGUGAAGAAAUAAAAAUUAUAGUAAUUGAUGAAAUAGUGAAGUUGUUUGAUUGGUCAAAUUCUCUAACGCCAUCAUGAUGAUCGUAGCUGUCUGUAUCAUAGUUACUCCUUUUAGAUCUCGGGACAAAUCUUGUUGAUGAGAAUGGUGAUUGGGCAAUUAAAAAUAAUAAUUUUAAUAAUACUAAUAAGUAAGUAAGUCACUCCAUCUAAACAGAUUAGUCUUUUAGUUGGAUAGAUAAAAAUUUUAGGCCUAAUUCCUCAAUAAUUGGUAUUGUAGCUAAACCUUAGUAGUCGAAAUGUGGUGGUGGAAUAAUUCAAGUGUGUCAGACGAAAGAACUGAGUUCGGUGGUGGUUUCGUCAGAGGAGAGAUUGUUGAGUUAUAUCUCACAUUGACUAAUAAAGAGGAAAUAAUUAAAUUUAGAAGAAAGUAGAUCAUUCUACCUAAAAAGUUACUCUAUUAGUUGGAUAUUUUGAAAUUUUUAGCUUAACCCUCCAACAAUUUGUUAGACUUUCUAGGAAUAGGCUACCAAAUUUUUCUAGAAAGAAUUAAUGAAAUCCCUUUUGAUAUCAUUAUUGCUUUGCUUACUUUUUGUACACUUUAUUUUAUGGCAACUAUUUGGUGAACAACCGUAAGCGUUGGAGUAGAGAUCACAGUGUGGUGGUGAAGGACAUUGAAGGUAUAAACAACAUGAAAAUGGCACAUACUUUCAGGACUAUGGGAAGCACGUUAAAAGGACAUCAAAAUUAGUCUUACAGCUAAAGCAAAUAUUUGAAGAUAUUGAUCAAAUACAAACUUCUACCUCAAGAGGUACACGUCAAUCUAGGACCCACCACCUGCACGGUGAUUGUCUGGCGUCUUGUGCAAAUUAAAUAAUCUACGCUUGAUGUAACGGUUAACUUUUUACAACAAUUUUCUUUUUUGAAUAAGUAAUGGUUAAAAUGUAUGGAUGUAAUGUUUCUAAACUAUCCAGUCAAUACCCUCAUGAGCUAAUCGAAAUGUACUGAAGUAAUGGGCCUGAUGGAGUUAUUUUUGGACUUUCAUUUGUGAUUCAUGGUGUGAAAAGCAUAAGUGAGCUCAAGUAAAGCCGAAACGACUUAAACCUGAACAUGAUUUUAGGCUAUUCUAACAAGUGAAGAAAUAUUUAAAAUAUUUUUCUAGUUUAAUUUGGAAAAUGUUAGAAAACUAGAUAAUUAACAGCACUAUUCCUAAUCAAAAAUUUAUUUUCCAUUAAUGUGUAUUCAAAUAUUUCUUUCUUCAUAAAAAUAUGAAAAUGACAGCUAUACUCUUAUAGUAUAGAAAAUGGUUACAAAUACUUCUAAGUUUUUGAUUAAAAAACACUAAGAUUGGAUCAGAAAUGUUAAAUUUAACUGUUUAGUCUUCAAACUCCGUUUCCAAAUUAGAAACAGGCCCAACCCGCGAAAUAGGAGCAUGCUUGAAUCUUGAUCAACCCGAGCUGGAGAAGCAUCGUAACUUAUACCAGAAUGUUAACACAAGAAUUAGAGGGACCCCCUUCGAACUUUGAUAAAUCCAUAACUAGAUGAGCUUUAGAAUUGAAAAUUACUGAGGGCGUGUUCUUCUAUGAAUGUGUUAGUAAAAAGGUCUUUAGUUUAAACAUACAUAUAAGAAAGAAUGAAUGAAAAAUAGCGUGCUCCAAGAGCAGUUAAAAAUAUUCAGUUAACAAAAAUUCCUCACUACAGGAAGCGAAUGCAGGAGCAUGGAGUAUAACUUCUUUCUCACCCUAGGAGUGGGAUUAGAAUCCACGUUGUCGUCUUUGUGAGUGACAUCAUUAUUAAAGUUGGAUUAAAAUUCUGAGUUGAGUUUUUUGUUAACCACUAAAUUAUUAGUUAUGAUUUAAUUUUUAAUUUUUUAUCUAACAAUUAUUAAUUAAAUACUUAAAAAAAAUCAGCUUAUCAUUAAAUUCUCGUACAUUAAAAUUAUGUCUCCCUAUAUCAAAUUCGAGUGGGAGAAACAAUUGUUAUUAUCUAUUGUGCAAUGCAUGUGAGCAUUAUUUGUGGUAGGAUCCUGGUUGGUGGGGAACAUAUUUUGUAGCAUUGGCUGCGGUUCUUAACUGUUGGACAAGUAGGCAUAAAAUUAAGUACAUAUGAAAAGCCAUGCGCCUGUAUGGUUUGCCUUGUAUAAAUCAUAAUUUGAGGUCUUGGACCUUAUAGAUGCACUGGUACGUAGCCCAUGACAUCAAUAACAUGAUAUAGGAUGACAUCAGUUGAAAAAACUUCUACUAAUUUAAGUUCUUGAAAAUAACAGAGCUUGCCAACUGUCCUGACUAAUUUACUAAUGGUUGCGUAAUCUGAACACUUUUAUUUUCAUAAAAUAUUUUAUUUUGAAAAAACCCACAACUUAAUUGAUUGUUAAGGACAAGUUUACCUAACUAAUUAAAUAUAUUUAUGAACCAUAAAUUAAUCUCUAGUCUCUUUGAUUCUAAUUUCAUAUCUUCCAAAAGCCCAAGUGGCUAGAGCCACUCGGGUUAAGCCCAAGUGGCUAGAGCCACUCCCUCACAAAUGUGAGGGAAGGGGUUCGAGUUCCUGCAAACGCAUUGCAGGGGAUUAAUUUAAAUUUCCUUUCUUGAAGCUCCAGAUCUUGAGUGAAGGUAAUCUUUCUCCCAUAAUGAGAGUUGGGCGUCCCUCAAAUAUUUGAGAGGGUUAAAAAAUCUGAGCCGUGUCAUAUCAGAGGUGAUGUAAACUGAUCUCAGUAAUUUGUAUGAUGUAAAUAUCAUGAACAAUAGUUCUCCUAAAAAAAACAAAAUUCAUAUCUUCCAUCUUGAAUCUCAUACUACAACUAUUUUCUUUAGCAAAGUGAGUUAACAUAACUCUUGUUUUGCUCUACUUCCACAACUUUGUUUCCGCUUUUUUUUCGACAGACAACAUGGUUUGCAUAAUAAUAAAAUUUUAUUAUUAUGUUCUCUUCGAUUGUUCAUAUAUCUAGCAAGUCAAUAACUUUUAUCUAAAUUUCUUCGCAAAAGUUUGUUAGAAAAAUCUUAUAUUUAAGAAAAAUUGCACGAAUAGCUUAUAUUGUUAUUUAUCGUGAUCCAACCCUCUUUUUUCUUUCUUGAAACAGUAUCAUGGUCUAAGUUAAAUAGACUUCUAUGAAAAAUAAAAAUUAUACUUUCAUUGACUAAGUGUGACUUCUUAACCCAAAAGAUAAAUAAGAUAAAAGAAAUUAAAAUACUUUACUCUUUCCAAAUGAUGUCUAUAGACUCUAUGAGAAAGGGGGACAAAAAGAUUCUAAACAUUUUAUAGAAAAAAACUUUUACGAUAAAGUGGUGAGAGAGAAUUGGUAGUGAGAAGAGCUAUUAGAACAAGGUGGAGAUUCAGAAAAUCUUAAUCUAAUUAUGAUUCUCUUAUAAUCUGAUUCUUAAAUAAAAAUAAUAUGUGGCGAUUGGUGGUUAAUAAAUAAAGAAAUUAAAUCAUAUUUAUACACUAUAAUUAAAAGAGACAUAACACAUAAUCUUUAAAAACUCAAAAGAGCUCAAAUUAAGAGAGAAUUUUAAUUCGAAAUACCGAGUACUUUAUUGAAUGUAGUAGAAAACAAUUGUGUUAUAAUAAAAUUAAACCACUUUUGAAGAGUGCGCUUGAGUAGAAAUUAAUUUUCAGACUUUAAGUGCCAACCCAUGUUUUUGUAUCUUGGAUUGUGUUUAUUAAUUCGGUAAAUGCUUUAAUAUCCCAUUCCAUCCACACCUUGUAAAAUGCCUCAACACAUCCCCCUCUUUCAAUGUUUUUUAUCCUUGAAGCAUUGGAUGAUGGAGAUUGUAAAUUUAGCCCUUAAUGAAAUCAUACAUACUGCUUAUUCCCUAUUAUUUUCAUAAUAUCUUAAAGCUCCUCUAGCUCCAAAAAAUUUAAAGGAAAAGAGAGAGAAAUGAAUUAUUUGUUUAAUAAUUUAUCUUAAUAAUAUAAAAUAUACAUGUAUUAUAAAAAAAUAUUAAAAAGAAAAAAUAUAAUUACUGUAAAAUUAUGCUACUCUUAUUAACAAAAUAAGUGAUAUAUAUUACUUUAACUAGGAGAAACUGACAAACUUGCUUUUAUAACUCAAACUUGCUUUUAUAAGUCAAAUAAAUCCAUUCGAUGCUACGGGAAGUUCCCGUUUGCUCGUAUUUCCAAGCACUUGUUUUGGCUGGACAAAUUGCACCAUGCUUUGUCUUAAUUUGCUGUAUAGCCCCGCACUUACAACUUUCCACACAAAUUAUUACUCGCAUUUGUCUUAUUUGGAUAAUGCAUGUUUCACGUGUUGGACGGUGGGCACAAAAUUGAGUAUAUAUAAAUUACGGGAAAAAGACUUACACACCCUCAAUGUUUAAUAGAGGGAUAAAAAAAUUUCUAAUAUUUCGAAAAAAAACAUUCACACCUCCAUCAAUUAACGGAAAUCGUUUCUUUUAAUAGAAUUUAUAAUUUUAAAAUAUAAUUACUGUUAUACCCUUCUAGCACAUAAAAAAGUAAUUGUUGAUUGUUCAAUUUGUUUAUAUUAUUUUAAUAAAAUUAUAAAUAUACCCUCAUUACACAAUUCCUCUAUUUAAAUUUUUGUCAAAUUUUCUCUUCAAACUAAAUAAAUUUAAUCCAUUACUCAAUAAUAAAAAUGAAUAAAAUUGGUUAUUAAUGCCAUAAGAAUAACAAUUCUCCACAUGUCAAUCAUUAAACUUGUACAAUCAACCAAAAAAUUAAAAAAUGUAAUCAUGCUUGAAUAAUGGAUUAAUAACAAAUUUUAUUUAUUUUUAUUAUUGAGUAAUUGUUUAAAUUUAUUUGGUUUGAAAAGAAAAUUUGAAAAAAAUUUAAAUAGAGGAUGUUGAUGCGAGAUUCUGGUUGUCCUCGUUCUACGACCAGGGUCUCUGCUCGAUCAACUUCACCACGACCAGGAUCUCUCCUCGUAAAGCUUCUUCUCUAGAGGUUCCUGCGCACACAGACAGGUCAGAGUACGCCGGUUGUUUUCCCGGCGCAAACCCUCCGACGCUCAAGUCAGAUAUGAAGGUUCGGGGAACGCUUGCCACAAAUCUUAUGGCUGUUAGGUUGUUUUCUCUCUUUUAGAAUUGCUUUUAUCUCUCUUCUAAUCUCAAAAUUGCUAACCCUUUUACCUUCGUUGGCUACCUUUUUAUAGGCUUCCUAUGAAUCCCAGUUUUCCGCAGUCUACGCCCGUUAUCCUCCCACCUCUCGAACGUGGAUUCCCCAUUUCCGUAGUCGUGGGUGGUUGCGUGGCCUUCGUGCCUAGAUUCUUGGGCUGGAGAGCAUGCCUCGCCAACUGUGAUUGACCGGGUCUCCUCAAAUCAACACUUAGCAGGAAUACAGCAUAAAUGACUUUAUGCUUCUUACAAGAAAUUGGCCUCGCGAAUGACGUGCUCGUGGAUGAGCAGGAUAUUCCUGCUCCCUUAGCAAGAAUACAGCAGGAAUGGCUUUAUGCUUCUUAUAGGAAAUUGGCCUCGCGGAUGACGUGCUCGUGGAUGAGCAGGAUAUUCCUGCCCCUGUUCCCCUGCUACCUGGCUCUUACAGGACACACCUGCUCGCAGACUUCUGCCACCAAACAUCUGCUCAUCACGUCUGGUCUCGUCGGAGUAUUUCCCUCAAACACCGGUCCCCCAGUUUCUAGUGUUGAGAGUGAAAUGAAUCAAGACUGAAAACUUUGGUGGUCUACUCGCCUUCGCUUGGUCGAGCAGAUCCUGGCACGCCUGGCUUCUGGUCUCGCCAUAAAUAGGCUUUGAGACUUGGUGAGCCUUUGCAUGCACUAGUAAUUUUUUCGAAUGCUUUGGAGUCUGCUCGCCUUCACGUGGUCGAGUAGAUCCUGGCAUGCUUGGCUUCUGUCUCGCCAUAAAACAGGCUUUGAGACUUGACGAGCCUUUGCAUGCCUUAAUGAAUUCUUCGAUGCUUGAGGAUUCUGCUCCCCUUCACGUGGUCGAGCAUAUCCUGGCAUGCUUGGCUUCUGUCUCGCCAUAAAACAGGCUUUGAGACUUGACGAGCCUUUGCAUGCCUUGGAAAUUUUUUCGAAUGCUUUGGAGUCUGCUCGCCUUCACGUGGUCGAGUAGAUCCUGGCAUGCUUGGCUUCUGUCUCGCCAUAAAACAGGCUUUGAGACUUGACGAGCCUUUGCAUGCCUUGGAAAUUUUUUCGAAUGCUUUGGAGUCUGCUCGCCUUCACGUGGUCGAGUAGAUCCUGGCAUGCUUGGCUUCUGUCUCGCCAUAAAACAGGCUUUGAGACUUGACGAGCCUUUGCAUGCCUUGGAAAUUUUUUCGAAUGCUUUGGAGUCUGCUCGCCUUCACGUGGUCGAGUAGAUCCUGGCAUGCUUGGCUUCUGUCUCGCCAUAAAACAGGCUUUGAGACUUGACGAGCCUUUGCAUGCCUUGGAAAUUUUUUCGAAUGCUUUGGAGUCUGCUCGCCUUCACGUGGUCGAGUAGAUCCUGGCAUGCUUGGCUUCUGUCUCGCCAUAAAACAGGCUUUGAGACUUGACGAGCCUUUGCAUGCCUUGGAAAUUUUUUCGAAUGCUUUGGAGUCUGCUCGCCUUCACGUGGUCGAGUAGAUCCUGGCAUGCUUGGCUUCUGUCUCGCCAUAAAACAGGCUUUGAGACUUGACGAGCCUUUGCAUGCCUUGGAAAUUUUUUCGAAUGCUUUGGAGUCUGCUCGCCUUCACGUGGUCGAGUAGAUCCUGGCAUGCUUGGCUUCUGUCUCGCCAUAAAACAGGCUUUGAGACUUGACGAGCCUUUGCAUGCCUUGGAAAUUUUUUCGAAUGCUUUGGAGUCUGCUCGCCUUCACGUGGUCGAGUAGAUCCUGGCAUGCUUGGCUUCUGUCUCGCCAUAAAACAGGCUUUGAGACUUGACGAGCCUUUGCAUGCCUUGGAAAUUUUUUCGAAUGCUUUGGAGUCUGCUCGCCUUCACGUGGUCGAGUAGAUCCUGGCAUGCUUGGCUUCUGUCUCGCCAUAAAACAGGCUUUGAGACUUGACGAGCCUUUGCAUGCCUUGGAAAUUUUUUCGAAUGCUUUGGAGUCUGCUCGCCUUCACGUGGUCGAGUAGAUCCUGGCAUGCUUGGCUUCUGUCUCGCCAUAAAACAGGCUUUGAGACUUGACGAGCCUUUGCAUGCCUUGGAAAUUUUUUCGAAUGCUUUGGAGUCUGCUCGCCUUCACGUGGUCGAGUAGAUCCUGGCAUGCUUGGCUUCUGUCUCGCCAUAAAACAGGCUUUGAGACUUGACGAGCCUUUGCAUGCCUUGGAAAUUUUUUCGAAUGCUUUGGAGUCUGCUCGCCUUCACGUGGUCGAGUAGAUCCUGGCAUGCUUGGCUUCUGUCUCGCCAUAAAACAGGCUUUGAGACUUGACGAGCCUUUGCAUGCCUUGGAAAUUUUUUCGAAUGCUUUGGAGUCUGCUCGCCUUCACGUGGUCGAGUAGAUCCUGGCAUGCUUGGCUUCUGUCUCGCCAUAAAACAGGCUUUGAGACUUGACGAGCCUUUGCAUGCCUUGGAAAUUUUUUCGAAUGCUUUGGAGUCUGCUCGCCUUCACGUGGUCGAGUAGAUCCUGGCAUGCUUGGCUUCUGUCUCGCCAUAAAACAGGCUUUGAGACUUGACGAGCCUUUGCAUGCCUUGGAAAUUUUUUCGAAUGCUUUGGAGUCUGCUCGCCUUCACGUGGUCGAGUAGAUCCUGGCAUGCUUGGCUUCUGUCUCGCCAUAAAACAGGCUUUGAGACUUGACGAGCCUUUGCAUGCCUUGGAAAUUUUUUCGAAUGCUUUGGAGUCUGCUCGCCUUCACGUGGUCGAGUAGAUCCUGGCAUGCUUGGCUUCUGUCUCGCCAUAAAACAGGCUUUGAGACUUGACGAGCCUUUGCAUGCCUUGGAAAUUUUUUCGAAUGCUUUGGAGUCUGCUCGCCUUCACGUGGUCGAGUAGAUCCUGGCAUGCUUGGCUUCUGUCUCGCCAUAAAACAGGCUUUGAGACUUGACGAGCCUUUGCAUGCCUUGGAAAUUUUUUCGAAUGCUUUGGAGUCUGCUCGCCUUCACGUGGUCGAGUAGAUCCUGGCAUGCUUGGCUUCUGUCUCGCCAUAAAACAGGCUUUGAGACUUGACGAGCCUUUGCAUGCCUUGGAAAUUUUUUCGAAUGCUUUGGAGUCUGCUCGCCUUCACGUGGUCGAGUAGAUCCUGGCAUGCUUGGCUUCUGUCUCGCCAUAAAACAGGCUUUGAGACUUGACGAGCCUUUGCAUGCCUUGGAAAUUUUUUCGAAUGCUUUGGAGUCUGCUCGCCUUCACGUGGUCGAGUAGAUCCUGGCAUGCUUGGCUUCUGUCUCGCCAUAAAACAGGCUUUGAGACUUGACGAGCCUUUGCAUGCCUUGGAAAUUUUUUCGAAUGCUUUGGAGUCUGCUCGCCUUCACGUGGUCGAGUAGAUCCUGGCAUGCUUGGCUUCUGUCUCGCCAUAAAACAGGCUUUGAGACUUGACGAGCCUUUGCAUGCCUUGGAAUUCUGCUAGCCUUCUCGUGGCCGAGCAGAUCCUGGCAUGCUUGGCUUCUGUCUCGCCAUAAACAAGCUUUGAGACUUGACGAGCCUUUGCAUGCCUUAGGUAAUUUCUUCAAAGCUUGGGAUUCUGCUAGCCUUCUCGUGGCCGAGCAGAUCCUGGCAUGCUUGGCUUCUGUCUCGCCAUAAACAAGCUUUGAGACUUGACGAGCCUUUGCAUGCCUUAGGUAAUUUCUUCAAAGCUUGGGAUUCUGCUAGCCUUCUCGUGGCCGAGCAGAUCCUGGCAUGCUUGGCUUCUGUCUCGCCAUAAACAAGCUUUGAGACUUGACGAGCCUUUGCAUGCCUUAGGUAAUUUCUUCAAAGCUUGGGAUUCUGCUAGCCUUCUCGUGGCCGAGCAGAUCCUGGCAUGCUUGGCUUCUGUCUCGCCAUAAACAAGCUUUGAGACUUGACGAGCCUUUGCAUGCCUUAGGUAAUUUCUUCAAAGCUUGGGAUUCUGCUAGCCUUCUCGUGGCCGAGCAGAUCCUGGCAUCUUGGCUUCUGUCUCGCCAUAAAACAUGCUUUGAGACUUGACGAGCCUUUGCAUGCCUUUGAAAAUUUUUUGAAUGCUUUGGAGUCUGCUCGCCUUCACGUGGUCGAGCAGAUCCUGGCAUGCUUGGCUUCUGUCUCGCCAUAAAACAGGCUUUGAGACUUGACGAGCCUUUGCAUGCCUUAGUAAAUUCUUCAAUGCUUGGGGAUUCUGCUCGCCUUCACGUGGUCGAGCAAAUAUUGGCAUGCUUGGCUUCUGUCUCGCCAUAAACAGGCUUUGAGACUUGGUGAGCCUUUGCAUACCUUAGAAGAUUUAUCACAGUUUCAAGUGAAUGACAUUCCUCGACGUUCCAUUAAUUGCAGGUUUUGAUUUUACAUGAACUUGCUUUGACGUAAAACAUAAAAAUAAAAGAUAAAGAGCACGAGCAGAAAUUACUUUAAAAUGUGAACAAGUCUUACUGGAAGUAUUUUCGGAGGUGUGCUGCGUUCCAUGGGCGUUUCACCUCGUGGCCGUCCGUGCGAACCAGCUUGUAAGCUCCGGGUCCCACCAUCUGCUUGACUCUAUAUGGCCCUUCUUGUUUUCUACUCGGGUAUCGAGGGAUGUUAUCUGCAUUGCUUCCCUUGCUGCCGAGGAGUAGCAGCUUCUUGCGAUCCUCUGGUCUCCUCGUACCACUCCNNNNNNNNNNNNNNNNNNNNNNNNNNNNNNNNNNNNNNNNNAUUUUUUUUUCGAUUUUCUGCUGUACGGCCAAGGCGGAUGUACGGUACAGCAGCUCGGGUAUCGAGGGAUGUUAUCUGCAUUGCUUCCCUUGCUGCCGAGGAGUAGCAGCUUCUUGCGAUCCUCUGGUCUCCUUGUACCACUCCAACUACCCCAUUCACCCGGUACUUCAGAGCCAGAUAAUGGUUGGACAGCACCGCUUUGUUCAUCCUCAAAAAUGGCCAGCCUAGGAUCAUCUGGUAAGGACCUUCUUCGUCUACCACCACAAAGUCCAGCAUCAUUGUCCUUUCUGUCGGGGAGCUCCCAAUUGUGAUAUCCUGGCACGUUUGGCUUCUGUCUCGUCAUAAACAGGCUUUGAGACUUGGUGAGCCUUUGCAUGCCUUAGUGACUUCUUCGAUGCUUGGGGAUUCUGCUCGCCUUCGCGUGGUCGAGCGGAUCCUGGCACGUUUGGCUUCUGUCUCGUCAUAAACAGGCUUUGAGACUUGGUGAGCCUUUGCAUGCCUUAGUGACUUCUUCGAUGCUUGGGGAUUCUGCUCGCCUUCGCGCGGUCGAGCAGAUCCUGGCAUGCUUGGCUUCUGUCUCGCCAUAAAACAGGCUUUGAGGCUUGGCGAGCCUUUGCAUGCCUUAGUGACUUCUUCGAUGCUUGGGGAUUCUGCUCGCCUUCGCGUGGUCGAGCGGAUCCUGGCACGUUUGGCUUCUGUCUCGUCAUAAACAGGCUUUGAGACUUGGUGAGCCUUUGCAUGCCUUAGUGACUUCUUCGAUGCUUGGGGAUUCUGCUCGCCUUCGCGUGGUCGAGCGGAUCCUGGCACGUUUGGCUUCUGUCUCGUCAUAAACAGGCUUUGAGACUUGGUGAGCCUUUGCAUGCCUUAGUGACUUCUUCGAUGCUUGGGGAUUCUGCUCGCCUUCGCGUGGUCGAGCGGAUCCUGGCACGUUUGGCUUCUGUCUCGUCAUAAACAGGCUUUGAGACUUGGUGAGCCUUUGCAUGCCUUAGUGACUUCUUCGAUGCUUGGGGAUUCUGCUCGCCUUCGCGCGGUCGAGCAGAUCCUGGCAUGCUUGGCUUCUGUCUCGCCAUAAACAGGCUUUGAGACUUGGUGAGCCUUUGCAUGCCUUAGUGACUUCUUCGAUGCUUGGGGAUUCUGCUCGCCUUCGCGCGGUCGAGCAGAUCCUGGCAUGCUUGGCUUCUGUCUCGCCAUAAACAGGCUUUGAGACUUGGUGAGCCUUUGCAUGCCUUAGUGACUUCUUCGAUGCUUGGGGAUUCUGCUCGCCUUCGCGCGGUCGAGCAGAUCCUGGCAUGCUUGGCUUCUGUCUCGCCAUAAACAGGCUUUGAGACUUGGUGAGCCUUUGCAUACCUUAGAAGAUUUAUCACAGUUUCAAGUGAAUGACAUUCCUCGACGUUCCAUUAAUUGCAGGUUUUGAUUUUACAUGAACUUGCUUUGACGUAAAACAUAAAAAUAAAAGAUAAAGAGCACGAGCAGAAAUUACUUUAAAAUGUGAACAAGUCUUACUGGAAGUAUUUUUGGAGGUGUGCUGCGUUCCAUGGGCGUUUCACCUCGUGGCCGUCCGUGCGAACCAGCUUGUAAGCUCCGGGUCCCACCAUCUGCUUGACUCUAUAUGGCCCUUCUUGUUUUCUACUCGGGUAUCGAGGGAUGUUAUCUGCAUUGCUUCCCUUGCUGCCGAGGAGUAGCAGCUUCUUGCGAUCCUCUGGUCUCCUUGUACCACUCCAACUACCCCAUUCACCCGGUACUUCAGAGCCAGAUAAUGGUUGGACAGCACCGCUUUGCUCAUCCUCAGAAAUGGCCGGCCUAGGAUCAUCUGGUAAGGGCCUUCUUCGUCUACCACCACAAAGUCCAGCAUCAUUGUCCUUUCUGUCGGGGAGCUCCCAAUUGUGAUAGGCAGCUCGACCAUGCCCAGAGGGAUCAGCUUUCCUCCUCCAAACCCUUUCAAGGAGGUGUUGGUAUAUUCCAGCUUCUGGUCUGCUAUUCCCAUCUCCUCCAGGGUUGACUUAAACAAUACGUCAACUGAGCUCCCUGUGUCAACCAGUAUCCUGUCAAACUUCUUGCUAGCAACAGUGGCCUUGAUGACCAAAGCAUCCUCGUGAGGGUAUAAAAUCCCUUCCUCAUCCUCAUCUGUCCACAUGAUUGGCACUUGCCUAACUCUUGCACGUUUGGCUGCUGGGGUGUUGAAGAAUACCUCUUUGCUGGUCAUGGCGUAUCUAGCAUAAUUCUUCCUCGACUGUUGGAAUCUUCAGCCAAUGUUGGGCCCCCAGCUAUCAUCCUUACUGUAGGCUGCUCGCGCCUCAAAUUCCUGUCACUCUGCUCCCCUUCAUUUGUUGAUGCUACCAUUGGGAAUGUCCCAUCUAUAAACUCGUCCAGAUACCGAUUUCUCACCAAAUCUUCAACCUGGGUCUUGAGAUCCCUGCAAUCUGCUGUGGUGUGACCAUGAGUGCCAUGGAACUUACAAUAGCGUUCCCUAUCCCUCCUGCUGGAUGGCUUUGUUAUUGGGCCAGGGAGGUACAGCAGCCCUCGAUCCUUUAUGGCUUCCUACACCUCAUCCAGGGACAUCUUCAAGGAAGUAUACCGCCCAUAGUCCUGGUUCUGGUCGAUCAGGUGCACUGCUCUUUCUCUGUUUGCUCCGUUCUGAGUUGGGGGCGUUGGUAGUACUUCUGGUCUGCUCCCUCUGCUACCGUGGGAAUGUUGAUGAAGACCACCAUAUGCCGAAUCAUGCCUUCUCCAAGGCUCCCUAGCUGGGGAACGAGGAGGUUGCGCCCUGCUGCGCUGAUACUGUGGUGGCCUCUGAUGGGGCUGGUAAGUGUUGAGUGUUAGAAAAUGCAUAUUUAUAAAGGAGAAAACCGUCAUUUUACAUUUCAAGUCUUACUAACAACCCUUACUUUUAUGUAUUUAACCUUCUUGUUAUUUAAUUACAUGUGUUUUAUUUUAAUUAAGUAUUUUAUGUAUUUUAGGGGCAUCAUAGUCAUUUCACAAUAAACGAGAAAUCAGAUGGCAAAACGGACAUCACUUUUGAACUCAGGACGGUCGAAAACCUUAGGAGGAGCAUAAAAGGAAAAAUGGCACUGUUCACUUGUACGGUACUAUUCACGUGUACGGUACUAACUACGUUACUGUUCACAAUACUGUUCACAUAGACGGAUCGAUGACGUGGCAUUGACCGAUGAUGUGGCAUUGACUGAGGAGGUGUCACGAUCCUGUUGGACUAAAAUUCUUAUAUACUGUUGAUGGUGACGUGGCAGCAUAUCAGUGGACAAAAAAUCUCGCAUACGGUGCAUGCAUCACACAGGAUUAUUUUCAACCAAACCGCGUUACCUGCUGUACGGCCAAGGCGGAUGUACGGUACAGCAGGGUGCCAUUUCUCGUACCCAUGAUGUGGACACUUCAAGAGUAGCCCAUUGAAUCGCUCCCACGUUUCGAAAAACUGCUCGUCUUCUCUCUGGGUAAACUCCGAGAUUUCCCUGCGAAUAGCAUUGGUUNNNNNNNNNNNNNNNNNNNNNNNNNNNNNNNNNNNNNNNNNNNNNNNNNNNNNNNNNNNNNNNNNNNNNNNNNNNNNNNNNNNNNNNNNNNNNNNNNNNNNNNNNNNNNNNNNNNNNNNNNNNNNNNNNNNNNNNNNNNNNNNNNNNNNNNNNNNNNNNNNNNNNNNNNNNNNNNNNNNNNNNNNNNNNNNNNNNNNNNNNNNNNNNNNNNNNNNNNNNNNNNNNNNNNNNNNNNNNNNNNNNNNNNNNNNNNNNNNNNNNNNNNNNNNNNNNNNNNNNNNNNNNNNNNNNNNNNNNNNNNNNNNNNNNNNNNNNNNNNNNNNNNUGGUAAGCAGUUACCCGACCUCCUACUCCACUACCCGAGGUUUGGUGGUCCCUCCUCCUGAUCGGCCCAUUCCCUGGUAAUGCUCUCUUCUCUUUCCUCCCCAACCCUUCUAACUGGUCUGUUUUAAUCCGUGCGGCCUUCUCCUCUUCAAUCUCAAUGUCUCUCUUAGCCUGCUCGUAUGCGGCCGCAUACGUCUGAAUAACUGGGCUUCUUAAGUUGUACCACAGCCUUCCUAUCUUCACCCCUUCUUUCAAUCCCUUUAACGCAUGAGGGUGGUUGAAGGCUCCCAAGUUGAGGACAGCACGAUGAAACCUCUUGAUGAAUUCCCGAAGGGUUUCUUGCUCUCCCUGUUUCAUGCUUUUCAGCUCCAUCAUGUCAUCUUCUGGUGCCAUUGCCCCACUAAACUGCUCCGUAAAUUCCUGGCACAUCUGCUCGAAGGUUUUAAUGUUGCCCCGAGGAAGUUUCCUGUACCACUCUCGUGCACGUCCUUCAAGGGAUAGCGGGAACACCCUGCACCUUUGGGAUUGAGAUAAUCCUUGUACCCCAGUUAUGUCGUUGAAGCGCUCUAUGUGUACCAGUGGAUCAGUUCUUCCCGAAUAUCUAAGGUCUGAGAGGCGGAAAUCUCUCGGAAUAACUGCCUUCAUGAUCUCUGCUGCGAGCGGUGAUUCUCCGUCCAGCAUUAUUCUCCAACCAGGAGCUCUGCUCUUCCCUUGCAUGUCAUCAAUUAUCUGCGCUAGUCUGCGCACUUCCUCCUCCAGCUGCACUGCACGACCAGGGUCACGUGCUGCAACUUGAUCCCGCUCUUGCUCUACAUCAUGUAAAUGUUGCCUCAGUACUGUUUCCUCUGCGUUCGCCACCCCAUCGUCCUCGUCAAAAAUCUGUCUUGCCGGGGACUGCUCUUCCUCUCUAUGGAAUUCUCCCCGCUGGGGUAUGUUACCUCUUUCCUCACCAAAUCUCCCGAUGGUCUGACUUCUCCUCGUAUUAUCAGGACCUGGUGCCACUCCAUCACCUCUCACCCUUUCUUCCUGGGUUACCCUUCGUUCACUUCGCAGCUCAUGCAGGAUGGUUGUCAAGGUCUCCAUACCCUUCGUUCGCUCCGCAGCUCAUGCAGGAUGGUUGUCAAGGUCUCCAUCUGCUUUUCCAUCCGUUCCAUCCGGUCGAACAUGGCUUUUUUCCGUGCUUCACUGGCUAUCUCCCUCAGCGUUACGGAAUCGUUAAGCCUCAUAUCACCCCCUUAUGUACUACUUCCUCCUGUCUCUAUUGCUUUUCAGCUGCUUCCCUUCUCUUCUUGCUAUCAACAGAAGCUCUGCGCUCAGCUCCCCACAGACGGCGCCAAAAUGUUGAUGCGCCUUCUCUUCUUGCUAUCAACAGAAGCUUUUUGCUCAGCUCCCCACAGACGGCGCCAAAAUGUUGAUGCGAGAUUCUGGUUGUCCUCGUUCUACGACCAAGGUCUUUGCUCAAUUAACUUCACCACGACCAGGAUCUCUCCUCGUAAAGCUUCUUCUCCAGAGGUUCCUGCGCACACAGACAGGUCAGAGUACGCCGGUUGUUUUGGCGCAAACCCUCCGACGCUCAAGUCAGAUAUGAAGGUUCGGGGAACGCUUGCCACAAAUCUUAUGGCUGUUAGGUUGUUUUCUCUCUUUUAGAAUUGCUUUUAUCUCUCUUUUAAUCUCAAAAUUGCUAACCCUUUUACCUUCGUUGGCUACCUUUUUAUAGGCUUCCUAUGAAUCCCAGUUUUCCGCAGUCUAUGCCCGUUAUCCUCCCACCUCUCGAACGUGGAUUCCCCAUUUCCGUAGUCGUGGGUGGUUGCGUGGCCUUCGUGCCUAGAUUCUCAGGCUGGAGAUCAUGCCUCGCCAACUGUCGUUGACCGGGUCUCCUCGAAUCAACCCUUAGCAAGAAUACAGCAGGAAUGGCUUUAUGCUUCUUACAGGAAAUUGGCCUCGCGGAUGAUGUGCUCGUGGAUGAGCAGGAUAUUCCUGCCCCUGUUUCCCUGCUACCUGGCUCUUACAGGACACACCUGCUCGCAGACUUCUGCCACCAAACAUCUGCUCAUCACGUCUGGUCUCGUCGGAGUAUUUCCCUCAAACAGAGGAAUUGGGUAAUGAGGGCAUAUUCAUAAUUUUAUUAAAAAUAUAUGGACAAAUUGGACAAUCAACAAUUACUUUUUUAUAUACUAGAAGGAUAUAACGAUAAUUACAUGUUAAAAUUAUAAAUUCUUCUAAAAGAAAUUAUUUCCAUUAGUUAAUGGGGGUAUGAAUGUAUUUUUUAGAACAUUUGAGAGUUGUUUAUCAUUUUGCUAAACGUUGGGGUGUGUCAGCCCUUUUCCCUAUAAAUAACCGUCUUAAUAACUCAGGACAUCAAUUACGGGUAAUUUUUACUUUCCUCCCUUGAGCUUUGAGCCUUUUGCACUUAGAUGGCCAAGAUUCAUUUAUUAUUAAAGACCCCCCUACGAAAUGCAAACGGUAGAUCUCGUAUGGUUAGUUAUAGGCAAUUUAGUAAUUUAAUUUGACAAGCAUAACUUUUACACAUUUUGAUUGACAUGAGCAUAGUGAAUGGUCAAAUCAUUGUGAAAAAAUAGUGCAUUGUGAUCAUUCAUAUAAAUAAAAAAUUAUAAAAAAAAUCAAAGAUUAAAUCUUUUUCUCUUUUCUCUCAAACUACACGUUUCUCUUUCUGAAGCUAAGACGAAAGCUCUAUUUAGAAGGCAAAAAAAUUCUUUAUUUCUAGCAAAUCAGUAUUUAUUACUUGUGUGAAGUGAAGAAGAAACACCAAACUUGCGUCAUGUCCAGCUAUGAUAUUACUGUGAGUUAUUUGUAAAUGUCAAGUUUGUGCUUCAUUCUUUGUUCAUUGACACAUUUUUGAUAAUGUUUAUGGAACUGUAAAAUAUAAAAUCAAGAAUAAAUUUUCCAACUCCAUUUUGAGUAUUUUGCAAGCAUAUGUUUUCAGCUUAUGUUAUGGUAGAUUGUGCAUUUGAUUUAUGUGUUGUAAUAUUCAUGAUGUACUUUUUAAAGUGAGUUUUAAUAGGCCCGAAAUAUGUAUGAAGGUAUAAACAAUUUUUUUUUUGUCUUAAUGAUAGUUAUACAGAGCUGAAAAAACUGAAGUUUAAAACACUUAAUGAUCAUUGUUUUUAAUUGCAUAAUGUAAUAUUAUCCUUUUAUUAGAAUUAUCCUUUUAUUUGUUGAAUGUAAUUGUAAAUAAUCCAAUUUUAAGGGGUAUAAUGGUAAUAUUAUGGUUGUUAUAGUUUUCGCACGAAAUGUAUAGCGUGUGAAAGUUCUUGAAAAUCCAACUGGGGGUAUUUCAGUCUUUUUGAAUUCAACUAACAGUCAAACACAAAAUUAACUGACGGUAGGGGGGUCUUUACUAAUAAAUGGAUCUUAGCCAUCUAAGUGCAAAAGACACAAAGUUCAGGGGAGGAAAGUAAAAAUUACCCCAUCAAUAACAUGAUAGAGGAUGACGUGACAUGCCAACGCUCGUAUUGGAAAAAGCUUAUAUUAAUUUAAGUUCUUGAAAAUAACAUGACAUGCCAACUCUCAUAACUGAUUUAUUAAUGGCGGUGCUGUUUAUCUCUAAAUUAUUUUUCUUUAGCAAUGUGAGUUAACGUAACCCUCGUUUCGGAACACCUCCAUAAUUUUGUUAGGUUUUUUGUCCAAAAAAAAAAAAAAUAGUUCGAAUAAAUAAUAAAAUUCUACUAUUAUAUAUAUUCUCUUCGAUGGUUCACCUAUCUUGUACGUUAACAGUACUUAAAUUAUUUAAUUUUAUUGAGAAUUUUCGCAAAAAUUUGUUGGAAAAUUAUUGUAUUUAAGAAAAAUACACGGAUAGUUUAUGUUGUUAUUUAUCAUGACCUAAAACUUUUAGUUUUCCUUUCCUGAAAUAAUGUCGUGGUCUAAGUUAAAAAGACUACUAUGAGUAGACUCUAUGGGAAAGGGGACAGAAAGAUUCUAAACCUUUUACAGCAAAACUUUUAUAAUACAGUGAUGAGAGAGAAUCUGUUUUAGGAGAGCUACUAGGAGGAUGAAAUUCAAAGGUCGAGACUUUAUCGAGUGUAGGGAAAAACAAAUUUGUGUAAUGCAAUUAAACCACACAUCCAAAACACUGAAUUGUGUUAUAUUAAUUCGGUAAAUACUCUUUACAUCCCAUUCCAUCCACAGUUUUUUAAAAUGCGUCAACAUAUCCCUUUCUCUCAAUGUUUUGCUCAAUUCGACAAUUUUUAUCUUUGAUGAAUUUGGAUAAUUUAAAUAGAUCAAUUCCAUGCUACGUACACAAAGGGAAGUUCCCGUUUCAACUUGUUCAUAUUUCCAAGCACUGUUUUUGGCUUGACAAAUUGCACCAUGCAUGUCUUCAUCAUGACUUUUGCAUUUAUCGCUUUGUCUUAAUUUGCUAUAGCUCACACUUAUAACUUGCCACAAAAAUCAUUGCUUGCUUUUGAUAUUUUUGGACAAUGCAUGUUUCACGUGCGGUUGCUUUAAUAUUUUAAGUUAAAUGAAACAGGCUUUUAUUAAAAUCUGGUAAAACCAUUUUUUUGUCAAAUUCGUAUUGCUGCUCUAUAUAUGGCGGUUCCGCUUUCUGCUAGUACAUACAACUCUCUUUUAGGCAACUCUAGCUCUUCUUCCUCAUUAGCGCAAAUGGAAGGUAAAAAGGACAAAGGAAACGACAAUGCCGUGAUACAGAUUAAUACAGAUACCGAAGAAUCUCAUUUAAGAGAGCAAGCAAAGAACUUGAAGUCAGCUGCUUCAAGAGAGGAUGAAGACGAGGAGGAAGAGGAAGAGGAAGAGGAGGGGGAGGAGGAUGAUGAAAAUAUAAUAAUAGGUAAAGUAAAGGACAUUUCACUCAUGCUUGAGUUCAUUAUAUUUGUGUCCAUAUUGUGCUUGUUAAUUGCCAGCUUAGCCUUGAAAAAGUUGCAAAACCAUGUCAUAUGGGAUCUAGAGCUGUGGAAAUGGUGUCUGUUAGCAUUGGUGACUCUCUCUGGUCCUUUGGUUAGUCGAUGCUUCAUCACUAUUACUGUUUUGCUCAUUGAAAAAAAAUUCAUGCUUAAGCAUUUGGUUCUGUAUUUUGUUUAUGGGUUGAGGGCAAGUGUGAGCGUUUUUAUUUGGUUGACUUGUGUCCUUUUAGUCUGGAUCUUUCUGUUUGACCAUGGGUAUGGGGUUAAGCGAUCAAAAGAAACUAGUAAAAUUUUCCAUCACAUUACAAGGACACUUGCUUCUUUUGUUGCUGGGCCUGCUGUUUGGUUCGUGAAGACUCUCUCAGUUAAGUUAAUAAGUGUUUCUUUCCAAAGCAAGCGAUUCUUCCAUCGGAUUCAUCAAUCGAUCUUUCAUCA